UACAGAGGUGGCAAGCGUUGUUCGGAAUUACUGGGCGUAAAGGGCGCGUAGGCGGUCUUGUAAGUCUUGUGUGAAAUCCCUCGGCUUAACUGAGGAACUGCACGGGAUACUGCAUGACUUGAGAUCGGGAGAGGGAAGCGGAAUUCCGGGUGUAGCGGUGAAAUGCGUAGAUAUCCGGAGGAACACCGGUGGCGAAGGCGGCUUCCUGGACCGACACUGACGCUGAGGCGCGCAAGCUAGGGGAGCAAACGGG
rnacentral:rRNA from 1 species